ensembl:snoRNA small nucleolar RNA SNORD49
AGCAGUGAUGAAAACCUGGAAUAGGAAGUGCCAUCCGAUGCGACAACUGACGAUUAUGUGUCAUCCAGUUUUCUGAGU